GUACUACCAUGCAGUCGGGGGGCAGCAUGAAGUCAGCUUGCUGACUUGAUGGCGACCGGCGCACGGGUGAGUAACGCGUAUCCAACCUACCCCUUAGUAGGGCAUAGCCCGUAGAAAUGCGGAUUAAUACCCUAUGUUUUCCGAGGAUGACAUCUGACUUGGAACAAAGAUUCAUCGCUAAGGGAUGGGGAUGCGUCCGAUUAGCUUGCCGGCGGGGUAACGGCCCACCGGGGCGACGAUCGGUAGGGGUUCUGAGAGGAAGGUCCCCCACACUGGUACUGAGACACGGACCAGACUCCUACGGGAGGCAGCAGUGAGGAAUAUUGGUCAAUGGGCGCGAGCCUGAACCAGCCAAGUAGCGUGCCAGGACGACGGCCCUACGGGUUGUAAACUGCUUUUAUCAGGGGAUAAAGUGCGGGACGUGUCCCUCAUUGCAGGUACCUGAUGAAUAAGGACCGGCUAAUUCCGUGCCAGCCGCAGC
rnacentral:rRNA from 1 species